rnacentral:rRNA from 1 species
GACGAACGCUGGCGGCGUGCCUAAUACAUGCAAGUAGAACGCACAGUUUAUACCGUAGCUUGCUACACCAUAAACUGUGAGUUGCGAACGGGUGAGUAACGCGUAGGUAACCUGCCUGGUAGCGGGGGAUAACUAUUGGAAACGAUAGCUAAUACCGCAUAAUAUUGAUUAUUGCAUGAUAAUUGAUUGAAAGAUGCUAUUGCAUCACUACCAGAUGGACCUGCGUUGUAUUAGCUAGUAGGUGAGGUAACGGCUCACCUAGGCGACGAUACAUAGCCGACCGGCGAGGGUGGUCGGCCACACUGGGACUGAGACACGGCCCAGACUCCUACGGGAGGCAGCAGUAGGGAAUCUUCGGCAAUGGACGAAAGUCUGACCGAGCAACGCCGCGUGAGUGAAGAAGGUUUUCGGAUCGUAAAGCUCUGUUGUAAGAGAAGAACGGGUGUGAGAGUGGAAAGUUCACACUGUGACGGUAUCUUACCAGAAAGGGACGGCUAACUACGUG